rnacentral:misc_RNA from 1 species
AGGAAAUCAAACCUCUUUUCUUCCUUCAAACAAAAAGGUCGAACAAGAGCAAAGAAAAGAGAGUGAGAUAUGAGCUACAUAUAGCUGAUUGUUUUACAUCUUUUCAAAACUAAUCAUCUAUAAUUUUAUUACAAAAAUAAAUAUUCAAUUAUAUUGGGCAAAAUUAUUUUUGCAUUUUAAAGAGAUUGAUUAAUUAGGUAUUCCUCUAAAAGGGGAAAAUGCUGUAAGGAAAAAAAAAAUUUACAGGAAUUUACCAAUUUCCAUGGCACACUAAAACUUCCAUAAUCAUGGAUUCACUGGGAUUCAUCUAGUCAUCAAAACAGAAAAAUAAUUUAUACUGCUAAUCCUUUCCCCCAGAAAGUGCUAAAAAAUUGCUAGUCCCAUUAAAGGGAUUUUUUCUUCCUAUUAUUGAAAAACCAAGAACUCAUUUCAUGGAAAAAUGUCAGCAGCCAACGAUCGAGUGAUUCACUGUUUCAUCAGGUUGCGGAUAAAAUAUGGAAGAAUGCCUCCAUGGCCUAAAUGCCUAAAUAAGCCAACUCCACCUCAGUG